GGGGAGGAGGGGGUUGCGGUAAAUACCGGGGUGGAGGNNUUNNNGNANAGAAGCCGGCCUAACUCCGUGCCCGCAGCCGCGAUAAUACGGGGGGUGCGAGCGAUAAUCGGAUUUACUGGGCGAAGAGGGCGCGGGGGGGGUGUGUAAAGUCAGAUGUGAAAUCCCCGGUUUUAUCCUGAGAACUGUUUUUGAAUGUGGCAGGCUUGAGUUUUGUAGAGGGGGGGAGAAUUCCGGGUGUAGUGGAGAAAUGCAUAGAGAUCUGGAGGAAUACCGGUGGCAAAGGCGGCCCCCUGGACAGAGACUGACUCUCAGGUGCGAAGGCGUGAGGAGCAAACAGGAUUAUAUACCCUGGNNCCCGCCCCGUAANCNAUGUCAACUUGGAGGUUGUUCCCUUGAGGAGUGGCUUCCGGAGCUAACGCGUUAAGUCGACCGCCUGGGGAGUACCGCCGCAAGAUUAUAACUCGAAUGAAUUGACGNNGGCCCGCACGAGCGGGGUAUCAUGUGGAAUACUUCGAUGCAACGCGAANAACCUUACCUACUCUUGACAUCCACAGAAUUCGGAAGAAGAUGCCUUAGUGCCUUCAGCAACCGUGAGACAGGUGCUGCAUGGUUGUCGUCUGCUCGUGUUGUGAGAUGUUGGNUUAAGUCCCGCAAGCGAGCGCAACCCUUAUCNUGUUGUUGCCAGNNAUUCCGGUCAGCAACUCAAAANAAUACUGCCGA
rnacentral:rRNA from 1 species